rnacentral:rRNA from 1 species
GUAGGUGGCAAGCGUUGUCCGGAAUUAUUGGGCGUAAAGCGCGCGCAGGCGGGUCCUUUAAGUCUGAUGUGAAAGCCCACGGGCUCAACCGUGGAGGGUCAUUGGAAACUGGGGGACUUGAGUACAGAGGAGGAAAGCGGAAUUCCAAGUGUAGCGGUGAAAUGCGUAGAGAUUUGGAGGAACACCAGUGGCGAAGGCGGCUUUCUGGUCUGUAACUGACGCUGAGGCGCGAAAGCGUGGGGAGCAAACAGGAUUAGAUACCCUGGUAGUCCACGCCGUAAACGAUGAGUGCUAAGUGUUAGGGGGUUUCCGCCCCUUAGUGCUGCAGCUAACGCAUUAAGCACUCCGCCUGGGGAGUACGGCCGCAAAGGCUG